GUAGUCCACGCCGUAAACGAUGAGUGCUAAGUGUUAGAGGGUUUCCGCCCUUUAGUGCUGCAGCAAACGCAUUAAGCACUCCGCCUGGGGAGUACGGUCGCAAGACUGAAACUCAAAGGAAUUGACGGGGGCCCGCACAAGCGGUGGAGCAUGUGGUUUAAUUCGAAGCAACCCGAAGAACCUUACCAGGUCUUGACAUCCUCUGACAACCCUAGAGAUAGGGCGUUCCCCUUCGGGGGACAGAGUGACAGGUGGUGCAUGGUUGUCGUCAGCUCGUGUCGUGAGAUGUUGGGUUAAGUCCCGCAACGAGCGCAACCCUUGAUCUUAGUUGCCAGCAUUCAGUUGGGCACUCUAAGGUGACUGCCGGUGACAAACCGGAGGAAGGUGGGGAUGACGUCAAAUCAUCAUGCCCCUUAUGACCUGGGCUACACACGUGCUACAAUGGAUGGUACAAAGGGCUGCAAAACCGCGAGGUUGAGCGAAUCCCAUAAAACCAUUCUCAGUUCGGAUUGCAGGCUGCAACUCGCCUGCAUGAAGCUGGAAUCGCUAGUAAUCGCGGAUCAGCAUGCCGCGGUGAAUA
rnacentral:rRNA from 1 species